rnacentral:lncRNA from 1 species
UAAUAAACCCAGAAAAGACGUUCCACAAUCCAUAAAAUAAAGUUGAAACAAUGGCAGCGAUGUGGUGGUUUGGUGUCAAAGCCACAGCCAUCAUGCCAUAGAAGGUGAAGAACAAUAAUGUGAAGUACAUGAAGAAUAUAUACCAAAAAAACUUGGCGGCUGUCCAUUCAAAUCCAAUCAUAGCAUAGACUAUAGCACCAUACACUACUGACUGAACUAAUAUAUAAGGAAUCUCAAUCAUAACCUGCAGGAAAGAAAAUUAAAAGUCAGUAAUGAAACACGGUUAUUUAACAAUUCAAAUAUAUGAAAUGUGUCAAACAAUUACUUGUGCUAAUGCCCAUGGUAUGCCUGCAUACAUGCCGGCAGCUUUUUCCCUGUAAAAGACUGUCCUUUCAACUGAUACUAUUGGCUGCACUGACGAACAAUAUUGAACACCAAGGAAGAGAACUGCAGUAAACAUGGAACCCAUUGCAUUGAAAAGAUCUUGGUUCCUUUUCCUGAAAAUUAAAAAGUCAAAAUAAAGAUCAAAACGAAGACGAAACCACAAGAGACUUUGAAUAACAUUCAAGUGCAAAACUGUUCCAGACAACUAGUUAUAACUCACGUUCUACCACCCAGGUCCCAAAACAACGAGCCAAACAACAAUGCUAUGAAGGCCGUGAAGAAAAAUCUAACAGCAGUGUAUGGUGGGUUUCGCCAGUAUGACCAGUGUUGUUUCCAUAAGCAAGCCACAAAUUGGAUCCAAGAUGACUGCGAAAAUUGAGUAGGAAAAUAGAGGUCCUUUGAACCAGGAGGAGGCCUGCUUAAAUCUUCAAUGAGUGCUUUGUUUCUCCUGAUACAACAUGGCAUACAUCAGCAUUAAUUUAUAGCUAAACAAAUGCACCGGCAAACUGUUGAAUGGAUUUUGGUUAUGUAAACUAGUGGUACAUGAUAACAUACCUGUAUAAAUCUGAGCGCUUGUAAUGUUCGGUAAAAUCAAUCCCCAAAGCCAAUUCUUGCGAAGCAGCUGAAACUUCCAACAUCCAAGUUGCUGGAUUGUAACCAUCUUUAAUCUUUUGUACUCCGGGAAUUGCCUAGAAAAAACAAAUGUACGUUCAUCAGCUAUUUCCGUAUUAUAAAAUAAACCAGUCACUUGCAAUGUUGUUUCAAGUUAGAUUUCAAUUGUAAUAUGAGAAUAUCCAUUAGGUCAUACUUCGAAAUAGCUGAUAAGAUGGCAAGAAUGACGACCCAAUGGCCCCACAUAAAUUUCUUGUCCCCCUCGCUUCAUUAGGAAUAGCUGCAACAUAUUUUUGAACAAUAUUAAUCAAUGAGAGGAAAAGAAAAGACAAAGGGAAGAAAAAAAACGAAAAAGCUUAAAGCUCGUUUGAUCUAGAAUUAACAUUUCUUACCUCAUCAAAAGCUUCAAAUAUGUCAAUGCUUGGUUGAUGAAUCGUGCACACUACCGUCCUUCCAGUGUCCACUGUGUUUCUAACAGUUCUCAUAACAAUUGCAGCGGCUCUUGCAUCUAGUCCUGAGGUUGGCUCAUCCAUAAAUAUGAUGGAUGGGUUAGCCACAAGCUCAACCGCAAUGGUAAGCCUCUUACGCUGCUCUGUUGAAAGACCACUUACACCAGGCAAACCAACCAGUGAUUGUCUCAACGGAUUCAGCUCCACAAGCUCCAUUACUUCGUCAAUAAACAUCUGUAAAUCAAGGGUAAAACUCUAAAUCAGUAUGAAUUAUGUCCAAUAAUGUAUUUAGGGAAUCUAACUGUUUCCCUGCCCGUUGACUCAGUUUAACUAGUUUUAGCCCUUAAUGACCUAACACUCUAGGUGACUUUAGUGCCUACCUUUCUGGUUUUGGAAUCAACUUCAGGUGAUAAACGGAGCCAGGCCGAAAAGAGCAAGGACUCAUAUAUGGUAACAAAAGGAGAGUGGAUGUCAUUUUGCUCACAGUAUCCUGAAAUGCGAGCAAAUGUUUCUUGCUUCUUCGGGUAACCAGAUAUUGUUAUGUUACCAGUAAUAUAUCCACCAGUUUUCCUGCCAGCCAAGACAUCCAUCAAAGUGGUUUUACCAGCGCCACUGACACCCAUUAAAGCUGUAAGAACACCUGGCCGGAAAGCACCGCUCACGCCAUUCAAAAGCACUAAUUUAUCUUCAAGAACACCUUGAACUUUCAUUUCCUGUAAAGUUAAACAAAUCAAUUGGUCAUCAUGCUCGACUACAUAGUAUUGAAUCAAGAAAUCAACAAAACCUCUAAACAUCUUAAAUGGUUUUCAAAUUAAUGUUACCUCUGGCAUGUCAACAGAGUAUACAACCUCAUCAAAGGUAAGGGAAUGAGGUUCAAAUGGAAGAACCAUUCCUUUUUUCUUCGGACGACUGGCCUCCGCUUCUGCCAGUGAUAAGGAUUGGGAAGAGGACUGUUGUCCCCUAAUGUCAUCUGUACUCCCUGCAUUUUAAACAUAAUUUAUUAGCUUCAGAAGGCAUUUACAAAAGUAUCUCAUUUUUUUCCUCAAAUAUAUCAAAAUACUUUUAUCACCUGAGCGAGUGUUGUGGUUAGAACUACCUCCAAGGGUUGAUAACUGAACAUUUCCUCCAAUUCUAUCAUCUUGCUCAUUACUUUCAAUUUCCUCCGUUAUGACAGCCCGAGGCUUCUCAAAUGCUGUAAAAAAUUUUUGGAGGAAAUUAGAACAGAAACUCACUGCUACAGAAGUAAUUUAAGAAAGUGAAGAAGGUAGGAGCAACCCACGAUCAAGAAAAGUAAGAGCCAAUGUGUAAGCGAAGUUCAAAAGCAGUACGAAGCCAAACAAAGCCCCCAAUCCUAGCCAAUACCAAUAUUCAUGUGCGAAGAACCCACGGGACUUCAAAACUUGCACCCCAAGCGUUUCACUUGAGUCUUGAGUAAACUGUGAUAUGAAAAAGUUACCAGCAUCAGUAAUGUUACUAACAGCUAAAUACACAAUCAAGGAAAAAGAUCAAGAAUUACCUUUUUCCAACUAUGCCCCAAAAAUUCAUUUGCCACUAUUGCAUUCUGUGCGUAUGUCAAAGGAGAACACCAGUAAGCCCAUUUCCACCAUUUUUUUAUGUCCUCUGCAUUAUGAAAAAAUGAAAUGGAAGUAUUAAAGAUAAAUUUUUCUAAGGAAGCUAAUUUAAUCUGGUUUACUUGCAUAUUUUCUGUACCUCGCGAAAGGAUAAAUCCACCCAAUGACAAAAGUACAAGUAAUGCAAAUGAACCAAAUGUGUUAGCAACAACCAUGUUUCUGCCGGUUACUGCAAUGAAUCGGAACAAUGCAGAAGCCAUCUGGUUAACACCCAAGAGCAGCGCGUACUGCUUAAAAAACCUGCAACAUGAAAACCAUCACAUAAACUACCUUGAUAAAGAGAUCAUGGAACUAAAACUUUACUGGUUACUAAAAAAUUUGGUUCAUUUUCUCUGUGAUUACCUUCCAGCAUUGGAAUCAUACCCAACAACAUAAUAUGAUAGGAAAACCCAAACAGCAACCUCCAGGAACGAGACAGGGAUCUUUAGAAUCCAUGAGGGAAUAGCAUAUGCCCACGGAGGAAAGAACCGGAAGUCUCUUUGCUUGUAGAAGACAGGAAGCUUUGCUAUGGUCAUAGAAAUCUCCGAAAAUCCAUUGAAAUUGACCAUUGUGAUGGCGAAGAACGUGGCACCAGCAAAAAUUCCACCAUCAGUUACUGUAUCUUUGUGCAUUUUUGUUCUCAAGAAGAGUGUCAUGUAGACCACUGCAACAAAUGCAAUCUAAAGCCAGGGGGAAAAACCAAUCAAUAAAUAGUUAUCACAUGAAGCAACAAUUAAAACAAUUCAAAACUAUGUUGGUACUCACUUGAAUGAGUUUGAAGAUGUAGACAAAUGAGUUCCUCUUCAUCAGCAAAAGUUCUCUUGAGAUGUUAGCUUUCAACAACUCUCUCUUGCCAACACCAUAUGUUUCUGUGGUCAAAGCAGCUCGAUGGCUCUUGCUCUUAUCAAAUGGAGUCCGAAGCUCAUCAGAAAUUUUCUGUCCCACAUGGAAUGAUUGGAAUGCCUCAGCAAAUUCCUGGACUGUAACAAACCUGUAAGGCUUCUCUUUAUGUGCCCAAUACUGCCUUUGAUCUUUCCUUGAUGUUACCUGGAACACAUUAUUUGUAAAGAUUGAAUAGAAAUAGUAAUGUGUGAGGCUCGUUAUAGUUUUAGAAUGUUAUAAGCUUCUGUAUUAUCUAUAAAUAUUUAGAAACUGAAACAUCAAAUAUAGAGCUCUAUCACCGCAUACUUCUUGCAAGAAGUCAGCCACGCCUUUCCUUUUGGGGCAUCUAAAGCCCAUGGAUGCAAAAAACUCUAGUACCAGUUCGCGAGGACCCUGGUAUACAAUCUGGCCAUCGGAUAGAAGGAUAAUGUCAUCAAAUAGAUCAUAAGUUUCUGGUGCUGGCUGUAGGAGAGAUAUCACAGCAGUUCCACUAUUGAUGUGAAUAUUUUGCCUGAGACAAUUAACAAUUUGGAAAGUUGUCGAGCUGUCCAAACCAGUAGAAAUCUCAUCCAUAAAUAGUGCCAAUGCUGGUCCAACCAUCAUUUCACCUAUAAUUUAAUUUACGAUUUAUCAUAUGUUUGAAUGAAAAGAGAUAACUGUUUUGUAUCUGACCACAAUCAAAAUGAAUUUAUGGAGUUUGGUAUUUACCAGUCGUAACACGCUUCUUCUGUCCUCCUGAUAUACCUCUUAUCAUUUCAUCACCUACCAUGGUGUCUGCACAGACAUCCAGUCCCAGAACCUAUAUGUUCAUAAGGAGAAGCAUUCAAACACGUGACAUUAUUUACUUGUUCUUGAUCAUAAUUCGCAAUUUUAGAGUGAUUCAUAAAUAUGUUACCUUAAGAUAAUAAUCAGUGAUCACAUUGGCUUCUUGGCCUUCAGUUGCUAUAGCCUGAGACGAGAAUUGACAGAGAAAUACAAGAAACUCAAUCACCAAGAGUUCAAAUCAAUCUCCAUAAGGUUGUUUCCGAUCUAAAUCUAUUUUCUCGUGAGGUGAAAGGUAAAAUGCCAAGCUUAAAAUAUAUGUAAUUCAACAAAAUGAUAUAAAGAAUUGAAUCUCAAAGUUCAUGUACUAGGAUUUUGAGACAUAGGAGCACUUGAGUGAAGCCAGGCUUAAAACUGAAACUCAUAAUUCAUCAGAUUUUACAUCCAAUGAUUUUUUUUUUUUCUCUUUUCUGGAAUCAAAUUGGCUAAAUGCUAAACAUGUUUUAAAGUUUAAACAAACUUCAGCUUCUCUCACCUUCAUGUAGACAUCAAUAUCCGGAUCAGGCUUAAUACCUGCUGCCUUCUCUCUUCUUGCCAACUCAGUUAACAUUUCUGCACUUCCCAAAAGGCAGAACCUUUAAUCUGAGUUCUUUACUUGAAGGAAGAAAUUAAAAAAAAAAAAAAAUAUAUAUAUAUAUAUAUAUAUAUACACCUACCAUAACGGGUUCCAACCCCCUGGCAUCUAGCAGAGAAGGCCAAAGUUUCUCUCACAGUCAUUUCACCUAUAUGAUUAUCGUGUUGACUGAUAUAAGCAGCUGUUCUCUGAGGCACAAAUUCAUCCGUAUCGUGACCGUUGUAUGUUACCCUACCAGAAACCUACAGAGGGAUGUUUUGAUUCUCAAAUUAGGGAGAAAAUCAAAGAUCGAAAAGCAAAGGUAAAAGCCAAACCCCUCCUAAAUAAUUAGAGCUUUUAACUAUAUAAUCACCUUCAGAGUAGGAUCAAGCUUCCCGGCCAAAGCCAACAAUAGUGUGGUCUUUCCAGAACUUGGGGGACCCAGAAGCAAUGUCAAUCUGCGAGAAAAGAGAUGGGCUCAAUUUGUGAUCACUACCAACAUAUUCAUAGAAAAACAAGUAAAUUAAGAAACAAUAGGUAUUUAAUUUUCACCUUCCCGGCUUUAUGACUCCACUGACAUCCUUCAGGAUUGUCAAGUGUCUCUUUUUACUUGGAAUAAUGCGGAGAUAGUUCAAGAGACCCUGCAAACAAAUACAGAUUAUUUGAAUUUGAGCCGAGAAAUUAACAAAAGAUGAUUAAAAAAAUAAUAAUUUUUGCAUUUGAAGAUUGGUACCUCAAAGAUGUUGGUAUAGAAUUUAAUGAACGAUGGCAAGGCAUUACUUGCUAAAAAUGCUUCUGCUUCAACAUUCAAAUGUUCAUAUCGUACUUCGACUUUUGGAAGGUCUAUUCCAACUCUGCCAAAAAUCAAAGAAAAAAAUCAGAAUCAUGACCAAAAUACAACACGCUCUUGAAAAAAAAAAAAUGGUGGACACAACAUACACAUGAAAAAAAAGAACUCUGACAAACACACACACACUCUCUCGAAAAAGGUCUGCUCUGACACCGAGUUUUUAUCCAAAAGAUUAGUCCAUAAAACUGUAGAUUGCUCCUUUACAAUCCAAUAUGAGAGAAAUCAAUUCAAACUUAAUAUUUGUUUAAAACAAAGGCAAUUCAAGAUUAGCUUACGGAUUAUGUAACUUUUCUAUUUGUUUAAGGUGGAAACAGAACAUUACUGACAGCAUGAAAUAGUUAUAUGAAUAUCAGUUACAGCUGCUGAAGAACUGAAAGUUUUUUACCUAUCAAUACGGUUCUUGAGCUUCAACAAGAACCUCUCGUUAUCAACAUCAGUAACUUUAACCAAUUUAUCAAUCAACCUCUGCCUUUCUUGCAGCCCAAGGUUGUAAACAUCAACUUCAUUAGCUUCACCUCGUGAGGUAGUUAAUAUCCCCUUCCUCAAACGGUUAUAGGUAGGCAAUUUCUCGAGAGCAGCCCAUUUUAGAGCCUCCUCAUCGUCUUCUUCCCUUGAAGACCUCGAAAAUGCACCGAUGGAAUUUGUGUUCCAUCUAGAAGCGCUCCGACGCAAGCUAGUACUAGCCAUGAAAAUAUCGUGGGUGCCCUCCAUGGCAACUCAAGAUGCUCAGAGCUGCUGAAACCAACCAAAACCGAGGAGUGCUUUUUUCUCUCUAUUGUUGAACUCAACAAAGAGAAGUUCAAGCACAGAGAAAUGGGUACUAAUUAAUUUGACAGAGCAAUUGCUCCUACUAUGACUUGAUCCAUUAGUGACCCACGUAACCAUUUAUUUAUAUCUUGCAUACAACAGCAUAAAUUGACUGGUAUAUGGCACCGGCGGCUCAAAUAAUCAUUUCCCUUAUCUACCCUCCGUGAACAAGUCGUCGUAGCAAUAUAAAUAAAGACUUCUUUUCUACUAUAAAUAUCAAUAUUCCAGGGGUAGGCUCCGGAUCUUUCAUUAGGCCGAGCUAAAUUUUAAAUUUAGUGUAUAAGUUUAUGUAAAUUGUUGGUGCAUGUCAAGGAAUAAAACAAAAAAAAAUGUAUUAAAUAAUAAAUAUCUAACUCUAAUUUCAAUGAUAAAUUACUCUUUUCAUAUUGAGUUUCAUACGUUCUCUUGUUUAGGAAGAUAUUUGAAAACUUUAUUCUUAACUAAAAGAAAAAAAAUUCAUGAAAUUUAAUUUUCUUAAGCUAACGGGCUCCAGCCACCUAAUGGGUCUAUGUUCAUUGCUAUCUGAUGCCGGGCAGUUGAGGAAAGUGAUGGAUUCUUGACCGUAGACUUUUGGGAGCAGAAUAAAGAGUUUUAAAAAAAAAUUUCUUUAGAAAUUUCCGAGCAGCUGGUACCCAGUCACAUUGUUUACCUAUUUAACUUGUUAUGAAUUGACGGGGAAACGGGCGACUGAUUUUAUUAAUUGGUGUGAAAAAAUUUCCUUGCCAUGCUGCAAGAAAAGUAAUCAAGACUUGAUACAACAUCACAAGGUUACUCAACAGACUUUGACUAAUGACUAGGACUGGUUCAAUUCUAGAAUGGGGAUAGAAUUGGAAUACGAAACUCGUGCCUUGACUAACUAUUGUUACAUUGAUAAAUGCACCGUUUAAAUACGAAACGAUAAGAUUUAAUAAAUAACAACCACACAUAAUCUUGUUAUGAUAGAAUUAGUUUAUGAUAAAUUUUUUAUUAUUGAUAACAACGUUAUCGAUGAGUAGAUGAAAUGUAUAAUUGAUGCACAUCAUACCCUUUUUUUUUUUUUUCUCUAACACAAGAGAUUUUAUUAUCUCAAAUAGAUGAAAUGUACAAAAUAUGAAAAUUAAUUUAAUUUUAUAUUAUAUAUAAUUAAUGUUUUAUUAUUUUAUUGUAAUAUAAUAUUUAUUUAGCAUACUAUCAAUUAUUUGAUUAUGUAGAAAAAAUUUACUAAUUUACUAAUAAUAAUAAAGUGUUAGUUUAUCAAUUCAUAAAAUCAUUUUUGCUCAUUUGAACAAGAAUUUUGUAUUUUUGGUUGAGUUUUUGUCCUUAAAUAAAAAGAAUAAAUUUAAUUGCACACUUAAAUAAACUGACUUUUGUUAUUUCACCCCAAUAUUUUAAAUAGCCAUUAGCACACAUUCCUAAUUGACAAGGAUAUGACCAAUUAAAUAAUAAUUGUAUCAAAUUUACCACUCAUAUAUAUAUAUAUAUAUAUAUCUGAAUGGCUAAGUGUUGGAAAAUAGGACCAUGGGCAUGAGCCCAUGACUAAUUUUUUUAUUUUUUUAGUUUUUAGUUUGGUAGUGAAAUGGAUUUCUUAUUCUGGCAAAUUAUGCAUUCUCUUCUCUACAUAUAUUACAAUAAAAAAAAAAAACUUAUAUUGUCCAAAUUGACAAGUGUGCGAUGUCGGAGUAUUGUGUUCAUGUUUGGCAUCUUCAAAUCGAAAGGUGUUUCUAAAAUAGAUUAUGACUUCUAGAAGUAUCACAUAACCUGAAAAUUUUUAGGUGUAGGACUAAUGUGUGAAAAAAUAAAAGUCUUUAGUUUUUUUUAAUUUUUUAACAAAUAAAUGGAUUUCACUGUAAUUGACUUAGAAAAAGACAAAAAAGUGGGGUACGAAACCCGUGUGGCAACGUAGUUUUGGCCUUUUAGAAUAAGUAACACUAAUGUCACGUACUUGGACAUUACCCACAAGACAACUGACUGAGACAAAUGGCUGGACACAAACAACAAUCAACGCUUGACGUGGAGAAAGUCAAAGCACGCCAAUUUUGAAAUGAAGAUUACUUUAACCCUUCAAUUUAAUUUUCCAAUUAAGACCCCUCAAACAUGGGAGGUGGGGACCACAAUCACCGGAUCCGGAUCCGGAUCGUAUAGCGAAUUAGUGACGUACUCUGUUACUGCCAUUUCCCCGCAUUAAUUACUUUUAAAAAAAAAUAAAAAUAAAACGAAAAAUUUAAUUAUUAAAUUAAUUGUAGAGGCAACCAAGAAUUUAAUUAUUUAAUUAUUAAAAAGGCAUUUUCAAGACUGUUUUCAAGUAAAAAGAUCCAAUACUAAAUUAAUUAGCUCAUGCCUUUCCUGAUUUUCGUUGGUCGACAUUAUAAAAUUAUAAAAAAAUAAAAAAAUUAUUUAACGUUAAACAUAAGUUAAAAGGACAUAAUCUUAGACAAAAAUUCGUGUUAAUAUAUUUAAAUUAAAAAAAACACACACACACAUACACACAAAAUCUUAGACAAAAGAGAUGGGAAUUAUAAUAUACCAAGAGCAGAAGCAUUCAUUUUCCGUCUCAGUGAACGUGAGCUUCUCUUCACCGUCAGCAAGUCCGUAUGGUCAUUCCCUCCAUCACGACCGUCCAUCUUGCUCAAUUAUUAAAAAAAAAAUGAACUAAAAAAUGCAUCAAAUCUUUUGUGAAGCUUCUUCAUUUUAAUUAAUUAAUUAAUUAAGGGAAAAAAAUCUCGUCGUCCCGGCACAGCAUAAGGCUGAGCUUCUCCGCCGCCGCCGUAUUGAGAAAAAUAGCGGAUAAUUUUGAUUUAAAAGGCUUCUUGUUAGUCAUCACAUUACCCAAUUCCCUCACUAUCCUUCGUUAUUCUGAUGGAUUUUUGUGUUUCGGAAGUGAAUUUCAGUUCUAAUUUUUUUUUUCCAUUUAUUUUUAAGUUUUGGAAGCAUUACAUAAACUUUUUUUUUAAAUAUUUUACUUAAACGAAAAAAGAAAAAAAAAAAGAUCGGUUCGGUGGACAAAGCCUCUUACUCCUGAUUCAAACGCAAGACCAAUUAAACCACUCGGCUCAGCCCGAGUGGCCAGGGCUGCUGCCCUCUAACUUGGAGGGCAGCAGUUCGAACCCCCACAAAAGUAUUGUGGGGGUAUUUCCUUUCUCAAUUAAUUUAAGUGAAGGUAAUCUUCUUCCUUACCCAUGAGUGAGGAGUAGACAUCCCUCAAAUAUUUGUGAGGGUUAAAAUAUGGGCAGAGCUCCAUUAGCAUUGAUGUAAGUUGGUCCCAGUAAUUGUCUGAUUUGUAAAUAUCAGUUAUAGUCUCAUGUAAUAUGAGUUGUAAUCUGAGCAAUAGUCUCAUGUAAUAAAAAAUAAAAAUAAACGCAAGACCAAUUAAAUUAAACUCCUUCGAAAGCUACUCGGAUGACCGGCCAAAUUAAAACUCUUGAAAGUUUCGAUAAAAUAUUAAUUUUAAUAGUUAAAAUUCUUUUUGAUGGGGAAAUAAUAUAUUAUAAUUUAAUACAUUAUUAUUUUAAAAUGUUGAUUUAUAAAAAUAAAAAGAUUUACCAUACCCUAAUGUCUCGGAAAAUAGUCAAGCAAACUAACACAUUUUUUAGUGAAGAAGAAUAUUUGGACCAUUUUUUUAUUGUAGUACCAUUUAAAUAGAGCAGCUAAAAUAGUUAGCUUUAAAAUUUUUUAAUAAAUAUAAAUAUAAUAUAAAUAAUUAAAUAUGAUUAGUAGACUAAUAAUAUUAAAAUAAUUUAAAAACAUAAAUAUUAUUAAAAAUGUAUAAUUUAUUAAGAUAAUAAUUUUGAUAGAUAAAAUAAUUUAAAAACAUAAAUAUUAUUUGUAUUUUAAAAUAUUUUUUUAUUUAUUAAAAUGUUUAAAACAAAUCUUUCGGUCAAAUAGAUUUCACAAUUAAUUCAAUAUAUGUUAAUAGUAUUGAAAUUAUUUUACAUGCUAUUCAAAAUAAUUAAAAUUUUUAUAUAUUUUUAAUAUUAUGUUUCUAUUUAUUUAAAAUUAAGUUUAAUACAAUAAAAUAUGUCUAAUAGGUGUAUUUUUUAAAAUGUAUAUAUUACUAUAUUUAUUUUAACAUUAUAUUUUUAUCUAUUACAAAAUAUUAGAGUUAAUUUUAUUCGAGUUUAUAAAACCAAAAGGUAUUUUAGUUAAAUAGAGGCCUUAAUAUUCCUUCUUAAAAAUUUAAGAUGUGUAUAAUUAUUUUUUCAAGGAUAUAAUUAUCAUUUGAACAUUUAUAAAUAGAAAAUGAGGAUAUCGCAAGUUGUAGCACCCAUUUGAUCGUUCAACGGAGGCGCAUGGUCAAUCAAAAGAAUGAAAAAUGCCAAUUCUAAAGUCAAGUGUUUUUAUUUUCUUUAUCUUCAAGUUUAAAGUCAACAUCAAAGAAAAAGGUAAAAAUGUUAAGACAAAUUUGAUGUCUCUUCGCUAUGAAGAAAAUUUUGACAGUGAAGCCAGAUAGAAAAAUAAUUAGAAUAACGUUUGAAUAUUGCACAAGAAAAUUUCAUGGGUUAGAAAGGAAACAAAAAGUAGGAGAAUGAAAAUGUGAUCAUGGUUAAUUUGAAAAUUAUGAGAGCUUUGUAAAAUGAGAUUUUAAUUUUUAAAUUUUGUUAAUGUGUCCAUAGAAUAAAUGGAUUAAAUCAAUUAUUUUUUUAUGUAGUUUAAAUAGUUUGACUUUUAAGAUUAUGAUUGAGAGAGUCGCGGAUAAUGUAAGAGCAUUUACAUUAUUUUCAUUUACCUUUUACCAAGUGUGUACGAAUACUAUCAUGAUUAAUUAAAAAACAUGUAUGAUAAAAAAGUUAAUAAAAAUAUGACAAUUUUAAAAGCAUGUGCAUUUUGCUAAAAUAAACCAAUACUUGUAUUACAUAUGUGUAUAUAUUUGAACACUAAAAUUUUAUCCACCCUCAUUUUGCACACCCCUUUAUGUUUUGAAUCAAACUUCUCAUGAUUACCUCACCCAAUUAAAAUUAUAUACAUAUAGGACAGUGAUCCAAUCUGGGAUCCGGGAAUCUAGCAGGGCCGUUCAAUCCAACGGCCGCUGGUGGCUUUUUUUUUUUCAAUUUGUGGGCUGCACAUGGUGGACCCCACCAUGUGCAGACACCAGUGGCCUUUGGAUUCCACCAUGUGCAGCUACUAGUGGCCUUUGGAUUGAAAUCCAAAAGCCACUAAUUUUUGUCCCGGAAACUGUUCCAAUCCGGGACUCCCGGAUUGGAACAGUUACCUAUAUAUAAUAAAACUAAAAUUUGGAAACUUGGAAAAAUCAAAAUGCAUGCAGUGACUAAUGAAUAAGGUUCAACUUACACAUUAAAUAAAUUAAGAGCAACGCCAAACAACUUGCACAACACGAUGACAGUAGGUCCCUGAAUUGAUAGAAACAGCAGCAAAACGAUGUUCUUUUCUUGUUCUUUCUCUCUAUUUUUUUAAUUCGGUAAGCCCCCUGUCCCCAUCUGUAUAAUGUUUAAUAUUUUCAAAAAUAAAAAAUCCAAUUUGAAAAAAAAUUCAAGAAAAUCUUAAAUUGUGUGUCUGGUAAACAACCGCAAAUAUAAAAUUCACGUUCAACAUUAGUAGGAAGGGAAGGGGAAAUAUAUAUAUAUAUAUAUAUUAGAUCCGCUCAAAAUGUCGAUGAUUUUAUUUUCUUUAUUUUCAUGUUUAAAGUCAAAAGAAAAGAAUGAGAAAAUGGAGGAGAAGAAAUUUGAUAUCUUAUUACUAUAUAAGCAUUUAUUUUUUAAUUCGUUUGAAAUAACUUUUCAAGUAAAAUUUAUUUUAAUAGAGCUUUUACAAAUAGGGUUGGACAAUUUCGGAUUCGGAUAAGAUAUUCAAUCAGAUUUCGGAUAAUUUAGAUUGAGAAAAAAUUUAUUCGAUCUCAAUCGAAACCUUAUAUUUAAUUCAGUUCGAUCCGAAUUAGCUCAAAUCAAAUUCGAAUGAGAUGAAUAUUUCGAAUAAGUUCAAAUUUAGAUCGGUUUGGAUUGAAAUUAGAUUUGGGACCUUUUAGACAAUUCUCACAAAAAAAUCAUGAAAUCUACAAUAGUAUAGGCGGUGACAUCAAUCAUUGUCAGUCUCUUCUUUUGGUUAUUGAUAAUCUCAUUGGAAGAGAGCUGGGCUGGAUUUUCCCAUUGUGUCUUGACUAUCUUCGACAUAGUGGGUCUGGGGGACGCCAUGGUGGCUGGACGUCGAUCCAGAUGUAGCGGGGUUCAUUUGGUUUAUACUGUUGGUGGCGUGGGUCGCUGUGUGCGUCACGUCAUGAGUGUGGUUUGUGGUCAUGGGUUGCGGCUACCUUGUAUCUUGGUGAUUUUGGAAUUAGGUUUUCAUUUUCUUAGUUUCUGCUUUUAUAUUUUGUUUUUUUUUCUUUUUUAAGUAGCAGUGCAAUCCAAUUUGGAUUAUUCGAAUUGACUCGAAUUCGAUCUAAUCCACAUCUAAUCCAAUUACAUACACAAAUUAUAUCCGAUCGUAUUUGAAACCAAAUAUGAAUCUGGUAUGAAUUUGUAUAGAUUAGAUUGGAUCUGUCCAAAUCCAAUCUGAUGUCCAACCUUGUUUAUAAAUAGAGAUUUUAAAAAAAUUAGUUAUAUUGAUUAUCAAUGGAAUUUUUUAUUAAAAAUUAUAAAAUUAUUUUGAAAGUAAGUUUCUUAUAGUUAUGUUAUGAAAAAAAAAUGAAAUAAAAUUGUGAGACAAGAAAAGGAUAUUUUAGACAAUUAAAAAAAAAAUCCAAUCUUUACUCUUAAAAUUGCAAAAUUUGAGCUUUUACUAAUAUAAGAUAAAAUAGUUUAUUUAACCUCCAAAAGCUAUACUCAAAAUACAAGCAAGCAACAUUAAAAAUUAACAAAAAGAAAACUUAUGGGAUUGACUAUUUGAAAGCUAUACCAACCAUGCACUUACUCCCAUCUAUAUAUCUAUAUAAAGUUGGGACUUGAGGAGGUGAUGUGGCAUCAUCAUUUCUCUUAUUUGUAUAUUCUCUAUUAUCUAAUAAAUAGAGAAUGUUUCUUUUAGAUUUGACUUUUUAUCUUCUCAUAAUUAAUUUGAUUGUUAUUAUACAAUAACAAUUAUGUAAAGAUUUUAAUGAGGCAUAUUCUUUGUAAUGAAUAUCAAAGGGGGAGUGUUAUGAAUUUAUUAAAAUAAAUGUAAAUGUUCAUAACAUAUAUCCCUUAGUCUCCCCACUAUCUCCCAUUAGCAACCUUUAACUUUCCUAUAACUCCCACUAUCUCACAAGAAAUUAUGAUCCAUAAUUUUUCAUUAAUUUCAUGGAGUGAUUAUGUAACUAUAAAAGGAGAGCUCAUCUUUUUGUUUUGUACACACACAAUUUGAAUGAAUAAAAUCACUCUAUAAUAUAUUCUCUCAUUUUAUUCUUUAUCUUGCGUUGCUCCUUUAUUUGUAUUGCUAACUAAUAGCUUUUUUUUUUAUUUUUUAUAAGGCUGCCUCAUCUUAAAAAAAAAAUCAAUUCUUAUUUUUUAUCAAUUUCAUCAAGUGUAAAGUAAGAAAAAAUGAUAAUACUAAAUUCUUUUUUCAAAGCCGCGUGAAACGCGGGUCUAUUUUCUAGUAAUUAUAAGAAAACUCAAACCCUCCAUCUUAUGGAUGAUACAAAUGCUUUCUAUAAUAAAAUAUACAUGUUUUCUUCAUUAACGGUACGUAUAGAUCUUUUAGAGAGUAAAUUUUAGUUUAUCCCAUUCCCUUCAAAUUAAAUCUUAACCUAUGGAAACUAUCAAUUCAAGUCUAAACUUAUUGAAAAUAUCAACGCUCCUAUUUAAAAGACUAGGAUAAAGAGGGGCGUCUUAAAGAUCUAUUUUUAUUUUAUUUUAUUUUUUGGUAUUCUUAAUAAUAAAUGGGAUUGUGUUAACAUUUCGGUAAAUUGAAAGUAAGUUAAUUUAUUUGGCUGCUGAUUUGAAAAUUCCCCAUCUUUUAAAUUCAUAAGGUGCUUUUGCAGACAACUAGGUUAAGUCUCACAUUUUAAAUGAAGGUGUGUUACAAAGUUGAACUUUCUGUGCCUUCACCUACCUUGCGUUUGGAAAUUCUCAUCCCAUUUUGUGUUAUUUGAAUUUUUCCUAACACAAAAAUUCAUCACCCUAAUCAUUGAACCACAGCCUUUUCUCACAACAAAGUUGAAGGAGAGGGAGAGAGAAACAAAAUGCAGAAACAGUUCUGCGCUUAAAUGUCAAACCGUUUUGUUUCACUUAUUUUGUUUUUUAAUCAAAGAGAUGAAUAAUUCAAAUACAGUAGGAAAAAAAAAAACUUUGUUUUUUUAAUCAAAGAAAUGAAUAGCUGAGAUAAUUCAGACACAGUUGGAUCAAAAAGCAAUAUUGUGAUUUUCCAAACUACAAAGUCCCAACUUCUUGCAGUAAAUUGGGGCUAAAGCCUAAAAGUAGUGACCUUUUGGUAUGCUUUAAUGACCCCAACACAUUUGCUUUGAAUGUUAUUAUUAUAUUCAUUUCUCCCCUUUUCCGCAUUUGUCUUUAUUUCAAAUAUUCAAUUAUGCAUAUUCUAGAAGUAUGAUAUAGCUAGCACCUAAAAAUUAACCACAAAAAGGAAGACAAAAAGAGAGAUAUGAUAAGAUGCAGAAAAGAAAAGCAUAAGCUGUGUCCCAUAUCAAAACUUAAACAAGUUCCAUCUUGUAUCUCAUGCAACAUGACUCAACUUUCAUAUGGAUUCACACUUGGGGGGACAUUAACAGUAUUAUUUCUUGCAUUGAAAUCAAAACCACUAUAAUAACAGCAAGAAAAAUGUCUUGGCAUAGGUGUGAGAAAAUAUACACAAGCUAUUUAGAGGGGAGAGAGAAAAACUAACUGGGGUUAGAAUUAAUUUUAUUACUUAUUUAUUGUAGCUCGAUACAAUCUUAGUUCUAAUUUAGUUAGUACCCUUAAUUAUAACUGCAAUAAGAAAAUCUAAUCUUAAUAGGAAAGAGAUUAAAAUAAACUACAAGAGUCCUCAUAUUAUUCCCCACUCCUUAAAACAGGCUUGCCCGCAAGCCUUUUACCAAGUCCUAAAUCACAAACUUGAUCUUCAAGAUGCUAUUAAAUUUCUAUCGCCUCUGGAAAUUAAGCUGCUUGAUUCCUAGGGCGAAGACAAAACCAAAGAGGGCUACAAAGCACGUAAGAACACCCGCAACUACUCCCAGCAAAUCAUGUUUGAAACCAAAAUAAUCUCUAAGAAAGUGCUUCACUGUUUCACCAUUUUCCAUUUGGUCCUCCACAUCCCCAAACUGUGAAGCAAUCAAUCCAUACAGGGUCCAAGCUAUAGGGUUUGCCCAAUAGUACCAUCUCCACCAUACAGGAAUCCUCUGCGGUUUGAAAAAGGUGAAAGAUGAGGAAAGAAUCGGUAACAGAAAUUCUGUAACUAGAGAAUCUAGCAUAUGAAAUAGAAAUAGAAAUAGCAGAAUAGUACUUACAGGUCUUGGGAUUACAAAUCCGCAAAAGAGGUACCAUAUCCCGUAAAAUAAAGUCGAAACAAUGGCAGCAAUGUGGUGGUUUGGUGUUAUAGCCACUGUCAACAUGCCAUAGAAGGUGAAGAGCAAUAAUGUGAUGUACAUGAAGAAAAAAUACCAAGAGAACUUCUCGGCUGUCCAGUCAUAUCCCAUCAUAGCAUAGACUAUAACACAGUACACUACUGACUGAACAAAUAUAUAAGGAAUCUCAAUCAUGGCCUGCCGAAAAGAAAAAUCUAAAUAUCAGUAAUGAAACACAUUUCUUAUAACAUUUCAGAUAGGCAUGUGUCAAACGAUUACUUGUGCUAAUGCCCACGGAAGGCCCGCGUACAUGCCAGCGGCUUUUUCUCUGUAAAAGACUGUCCUUUCAACAGAUACUACUGGCUGCACGGAUGAACAAUAUUGAAGGCCGAGGAAGAUAAUUGCAGUAAACAUGGAACCCAUUGCAUUAAACAGAUCUUGGCUCUUUCUCCUAUAAAUUAAAAAGUGAAAAUUAAUAUUAAAAGGCAGAUGAGAAAACAAGACUAAGAAUAAUAUUUAAAUUUAUAAUGUUCCAGUUUCCAAGGCUGUAACUAACGUUUUAGAGCCCAUGUCCCAAAACAAUGACCCAAGCAACACUGCUAUAAAGGCUGUAAAAAAGAAUCUAACAGCAGUGUAUUGUGGAUUUCGCCAGUAUGACCAGUGUUGUUUCCAUAAGCAAGCCACGAAUUGAGUGAAAGCUGACUGCGAGUACUGGGUAGGAAAAUAGAGGUCCUUUGAACCUGGAGUAGGCUUGCUUAAUUCUUCAAUAAGUGCUUUGUUUCUCCUGAGAUACAUUGCCAAUUCAAAAUUUUGAACUAAACAAAUGCAUUGGCAGAGAGGUGAAUGGAUUGCAGUUAGUAGUGUUAGUACUUCAUGAAUGUACCUGUAUAAUUCUGAGCAUCUGAAAAUAUCAUUAAAAUCAACUCCCAAAGCUACCUCUUGGGAUGAAGCAGUUACUUCCAACAUCCAAGUGGCCGGAUUGUAACCAUCUUUAAUUUUCUCAACUCCAGGAAUAGCCUUAUAAAAACGAAUAAACAUGCAUCAGAUAGUUUCAAGAUGAAAAUUAUGCAAGUCACUUCAAAAUGAUACUCAAGUUGGAUUUCCAUUGUAAUAUGAUAACGUGCAUCGGCACAUACUUCAAAAUAGCUGAUAAGUUGGCAAGAAUGGCGACCCAAUGGCCCAACAUAAAUUUCUUGUCCCCCUCGCUUCAUUAGGAAUAACUGCAAUGCAUUGUUGAACAAUUGUAAUCCAUAGAAAAAAAGGGGAGAAAAAAAAAGGAACUUUACGUUACCUUGAUCAAGAAUUAACAUUUUUUACCUCAUCAAAAGCAUCAAAUAUGUCAAUGCCUGGUUGAUGAAUGGUGCACACUACUGUCCUUCCAGUGUCCACUGUAUUUCUAACAGUUCUCAUAACAAUUGCAGCCGCCCUUGCAUCUAGCCCUGAGGUUGGCUCAUCCAUAAAUAUGAUGGACGGGUUAGCCACUAGCUCAACCGCAAUGGUAAGCCUCUUACGCUGCUCUGUUGACAGACCACUUACACCAGGCAAACCAACCAAUGAUUGUAUCAGUGGUUUCAGCUCCACAAGCUCCAUGACUUCCUCAAUAAACAUCUGUAAAUCAAGGGGAAAACUCUAAAUCAGUAUGAAUUAUGUCCAAUAAUGUAUUUAGGGAUCUAACUCUUUCCCUGCCCAUUGACUCAGGUUAACUAGUUUUAGCCCUCAAUGACCUAACACUCUAUGUGACUUUAGUACCUACCUUUCUGGUUUCAGAAUCAACUUCAGGUGGUAAACGGAGCCAGGCUGAGUAGAGCAAGGACUCAUAUACAGUAACAAAAGGAGAAUGGAUGUCAUUUUGCUCACAGUAUCCUGAAAUGCGAGCAAAAGUUUCUUGCUUCUUCGGGUAACCAGAUAUUGUUAUGUUCCCAGUAAUAUAUCCACCCGUUUUCCUGCCGGACAACACAUCCAUCAAAGUAGUUUUACCAGCACCACUGACUCCCAUUAAAGCUGUUAGAACACCUGGCCGAAAAGCACCGCCCAAACCAUUCAGAAGCACUAAUUUGUCUUCAAGAACACCUUGAAGUUUCAUUUCCUACAAUGUAAAAUCGAACCAAUUGGUCAUCAUGCCUGGACUACAUUGAAAUGGAUCAAGAUAUCAUCGAGCUUUCUAAAUAUUGCCUAAUUAGUUUAAAAUUAAUAUUACCUGUGGCAUGUCAACGGAGUAUACAACCUCAUCAAAGGUAAGGGAAUGAGGUUCAAAAGGAAGAAUCAUUCCUCUUUUCUUUGGAUGACUGCCCUGUGCUUCUGUCAGGAUUAAGGACUUAGAAGAGGAGUUUCUCCCGCUAAUGUCUUCUCCACUCUCUGCACGCUUAAAACAAUUUAUUAGCAUAAGAUGGCAUUUAAAAAAUAUCUCAUUCUUUCUCAAAGGAAAUAGUUUAAUAACUGAAACAAAACUACCUCCACGGGUGGACAACUGAACAGUUCCUCUAAUUCUGUUAUCUUGCUUAUUACUUUCAGAUUCCUCUGUUAUAACAGCUCGAGGCUUCUCUAAUUCUGUAAAUAUUUUUUUGCACAAAAUUAGAACAUAAACUCACUGCUUUUGAAGUAUUAAGUGAAGAGGUAAAGAUGCAUACGGUUAAGAAAAGUAAUAGCCAUAGUGAAACCGAGGUUGAACAGUAGUAUAAAACCAAACAAUGCCCCCAAUCCAAGCCAAUACCAGUAUGCAUGAGCAAAGAACCCGCGACUCUUCAAAACUUGGACUCCAAUUGAUUCAUAUGAGUUUGGAGUAAACUAUUACAUGAAAAAAUUAGACAUCAGUAUGUUACUAAUAGACAAUUACACAAUUUUGGGCAAGGCUCAUUCAAAGACGUACCUUUUUCCAACUGUACCCAAGAAAUUCAUUUGCCACUAUUGCAUUCUGUGCGUAUGACAUUGGAGAACACCAGUAAGCCCAUUUCCACCAUUUUUUGAUGUCCUCUGCAUUAUGAAACAAAGAAAUGAAAAUAUGUUAGUUUAGUUAUGAAAAAGAGGCUAAUUCGGGCUCGUUUACUUUUAUAUUUUAUGUACCUUGUGAAAGGACAAAUCCACCCAAUGCGAAAAGCACGAGUAAUGCAAAUGUACCAAAUGUGUUAGCAACAACCAUGCUCCUGCCAGUUGCAGCAAUUAAUCGGAACAAUGCAGACGCCAUCUGGUUAACUGCUAAGAGCAACAAGUACUGCUUAAAAAACCUGCAACAAGAAAAUCAUCACAUCAACUUGUUGGAUAAAGAUAUCAUGUAAUGAAAAUGCCAUUGGUUAAUAGUCAAUUUGGUUGAUUUUCUAUCUGUUCACCUUCCAGCAUUGGGAUCACACCCAAUUACAUAAUAAGUUAAGAAUACCCAAACAGCAACCUCCAGGAACGAGAUGGGGAUCUUGAGGAUCCAUGAGGGAAUAGCAUAAGCCCAUGGAGGAAAGAAACGGAAAUCUCUUUGCUUGUAGAAGACAGGAAGCUUGGCAAUGGUCAUAGAAAUCUCCGCAAGUCCAUUAAACAUGACCAUUGCAGUGGCAAAGAACAAGGCACCAGCAUAAAUUCCACCAUCAGUUACUGAAUGUUUGUGCAUCUUUGUUCUGAAGAAGAGUGUCAUAAAGGCCAAUGCGACGGAUGAAAUCUAAUAUCAGGGGGGAAGAAAUAAUCAACAAAUCUCAAUCACAUAAAGAAAUGAUUAAAUUAAUUCAAAAUUAAGUUGAUACUUACUUGGGUAAGCUUGAAGAUGUAGACAAAUGAGUUCCUCUUCAUCAGCAAAAGCUCUCUUGAGAUGCAAGUUUUCAACAACUCCCUCUUGCCAACGCCAUACACUUCUGUGGUCAAAGCAGCUCGAUGGCUCUUGCUCUUAUCAAAUGGAGUCCGAAGCUCAUCAGAAAUUUUCUGUCCCACAUGGAAUGAUUGGAAUGCCUCAGCAAAUUCCUCGACUGUCACAAACCUGUAAGGCUUCUCUUUAUGUGUCCAAUACUGCUUUUGAUCUUUCCUUGAUGUCACCUGCAACACAUUAUAUUUCUAAAGAUUGAAUAAAAAAAGGUUACGUGUCUUAAGCUUCUGUAUUAUUUGCAAAUAGUACUAGGAAAACAAAAGAUCAGAUGCAGUGCUCUAUCACCACAUACUUCUUGCAAGAAGUCAGCCACUCCUUUUCUCUUGGGGCAUUUAAAGCCCAUGGAUUCAAAAAACUCCAGCACCAGCUCACGGGGACCCUGAUAUACAAUCUGGCCAUCAGAUAGAAGGAUUAUAUCAUCAAAUAAAUCAUAAGUUUCUGGUGCUGGCUGUAGGAGAGAUAUCACAGCAGUUCCACUAUUGAUGUGAACAUGUUGCUUGAGACAAUUAACAAUUUGGAAAGUCGUUGAGCUGUCCAAACCAGUGGAAAUCUCAUCCAUAAAUAGUGCCAACGCUGGACCAACCAUCAUUUCACCUAUAAUUCGAAAUACAAAUUGUCAUUUAUUUGAAUGGAAAGUUAUAAUUACAUUUUUAUCAUUGUGAACAAUGGAAAUGAAUUUAUAGAGUCAUGCAUUUACCAGUUGUAACACGCUUCCUUUCUCCUCCAGAUAUACCUCUUAUCAUUUCAUCUCCUACCAUGGUAUCUGCACAGACCUCAAGUCCCAAAACCUAUAUAUUUAUGUUGAAAAUCAUUCAAACAGGUGACAUUAGUUACUUGAGAAAAAUUUACAAUUGGUUUAUAGAGUUAUUCAUAAUCACGAUACCUUCAGAUAAUAAUCAGUGAUGACAUUGGCUUCCUGGCCUUCAGUUGCUAUUGCCUGAGACAAGAGAAUUGAUGGAGAAAUAAGAUACUCAAUCACCAAGAGUUCAAAUCCCUGUCCAUAAAAUUGAUUCUAGUCUAAUUCUAUUUUUUAGAGGCAAAAAGGUGAAAUCCCAUGCUUCAAACUGAUCCAAUUCAGGAAAAUGGCACAACGAUUUGAAUAUCAAAGGUCAAAUACUAGGAUUUUAAGCCAUAGGAAAACAAAAACGAGGCGAGGAUUAAAAAUAAAAGCCCACAUUUCACUAAAUUUUAUUCUUUCCUUUUUUUUUGGGGGGGGGGGGGGGGGGGGGGGGGGGGGGGGGGGGGGGGUGUGGGGAAUCAAGUUGGUUAAAUGUCAAACAAGUUUGAACGAACUUUUAAAUUUUCUCACCUUCAUGUAGACAUCUAUAUCGGGAUCAGGCUUAAUACCUGCUUCAUUUUCUCUUCUGGCCAACUCAGUUAAUAGUUCUGCAUUUCUCAAAAGCAAUGAACCUUAAAUGCUUGUACUAUAUCAAAAAAAUACAUACCACAAUCUGAAUUUUAAGUUGGAAGGAAAAAAAGAAAAAAGCUACCAUAUCGGGAUCCAACCCCCUGGCAUCUAGCAGAGAAGGCCAAGGUUUCCCUCACAGUCAUUUCUCCUAUAUGAUUAUCAUGUUGACUGAUGUAAGCAGCUGCUCUCUCGGGCACAAACUCACCCAUGUCGUGCCCAUUGUAUGUCGCCCUACCAGAAACCUACAAUGAGACAUUUUGAUUCCUCUAAUCAGAGAUAAAACCAAAGAUGAAAAAGUAAUGCUAAAAUUAGAGCUUAAUUUUAACAAUGUAAAAAAAAAAUAAAUUAAUAAAUUAAAAAAAAAAAAGCACCUUGAGACUAGAAUCAAGCUUCCCAGCUAAAGCCAACAAAAGUGUGGUCUUUCCAGAUGCUGGAGGACCCAAAAGCAGUGUCAUUCUGCACAAUUCUUAGAUAAUUAAGUACCCAUAAAUUCAAGAAAUUACAAGUAAAUUAAGAAACAAUAGGAAUUAAUUUGGAUUCUCACCUGCCGGGCUUUAUGAUUCCACUCACAUCCUUGAGGAUUGUCAAGUGUUUCUUUCUACUGGGAAGAAUGCCGAGAUAGUUGAAGAUGUCCUUCAAAGACACUCAGAUAAUUAAGAUUUGAGCCUCGAAACUAACAAAAUAAUGACUCUUGAUUUGAAGAGUAAUGCUACCUCAAAGACGGUGGUAUAAAAUUUAGUGAAUGAUGGCAAGGCUUUACUUGCUAAGUACGCUUCCCCUUCAACGUUCAAAUGCUCAUAUCGAACUUCCACUUUGGGAAGGUCUAUUCCAACUCUGAGAAAAAUCAAAAUAAAAAUUGAAAAUCAUAACUUAAGAACAUGCUCGCACAUAAAUGACAAGAACUUUUGAAGUAGUUGUCAACACAAGUUCAUGUAAUAAUAAACAAUAGAGAGUAGGGGUCGGUGUUCAAUAUUUAUUACCGAUGACACAAAAUAUUAUUUUAUUUUUAAAAAAUAUUUAAUUUAGAAUAAUAUUUGAACAAAAUGUAAUUUUUUUUUUAUAAAUUAAUAUUUACGGUCACCGGCUGAAUAGUCAUUGAUCGGGAAAUUUGAAAAUCACAAGUUAAUAUUGAGGUAAUUUCAUCUCAGAUCCUGUCGAGUUCUACCAAUUAAUUGCAAAUACGAAUCAACAUUCAGCUACUAGUAUUACUGUUCAUAUGAAUAUCAAUUCCACAGGCGUAUGAUUUAUUGGCUAACAAAUCUUUAGUUGAGUCAGUUGACACUUCAUUCCUUUAUCCUGAAGAUUAAAAAUUAGAGUUUUUCCAGUGUUAUAGGAGUACAAUUUAAAUAAAAAGAAGAUAAAUAUUUGUUUAAUUCUUAUAUUUUAAAUUAAAUAUCUAUUUAAUCAUUAUAUUUUGAAAAAUAUUCUAAAACAACUCUACCGUUAAAUAUGUUACACUCUUAACUUUAUUAGUUCUUUACUUUUACAAUACAUAAUAAUUUUAUUCACAAAUACCAAAUUAAUAUCAAAUUAACUUUAGAAGCAAAAUAAUAUAAGAAAUUUUUACAUUAAUUUUUAUUAAUAGCAAGAAAUUUUUACAUUAAUUUUUAUUUACUUUUAAAAGUUGAUGGAUUGAUUAACAUUUUUUUUCUUUUUAUUAUGUCCCAAGAUUAUUGCAAAGAUAUUUUUGUAAAGUUUGAGAAAAAAAUAAGAACAAAAGUGUAACAUAUUUAAUAAUAAAAAUAUCUUAAGAUAUUUUUUAAAAUAAGACUAAAUAAUUAUUUAAUCUAAAAUAUAAGUACUAAGCAAUCAUUUACCCUUUAGAAUAAAAGUUGAUUUAACAUAAAGUAACUUUUGAUUUUUCAAAAUUUUUAAAUGGGGUAAAUCUUAAUUUACUCCCUACUCCCUACUUAAAGUGGCAGUUUUCAAUUUAUCAUAGGAAAGUAUGAAACCUCAAUUUAUCCUCGUAUACUAUUAAAAAGACAAAAAAAAAAAAAUCAUUAACACGCAUCCUAUUUGCCUCAUCUUUUAAACGAAAAAUGAGGAUAUAUUAAGGUUUUCAUACUUUUAAGGAUAAAUUAAAAAUUAUAAUUUUAUUUAAGGGAUGAAUUGAAAUUUCAAAUAGGGAAAUAUCAUAGCAAAACCUCUCAAUACAUAUCUAAGUUUAAUUUGGUUUUUGAUUUGAACUGAAAAUUUGAGUUGAAUUUGAUUCAAGUUUUAAAUUAACCAAAAUAGAAUGUAAAAAUAAAUUGUAAAUAAGUGAAUCAAACUUAUUUUAAUCAAAUUAUUACUCUUUUAAUUGAUUAACUUUGUAGAUUUAAAGAGUUUGUGAUGGGAAAAGAGGGGUUUAAUUAGAUAAAUUUUAAUUUCUAAUAGGAAAAAGGACAUCCAUACCCCCAAGGUUUAGAGAAAUGGUCAUCAACACCUUUAAGUUCUCAAAAAAGGACAUCAAAACCUCCUUUUAACCAUAAUACUUUACCUCUAUUAUACAAUAUUAUAUAAAUUAUUAUAUUUAUUUUAAUAAUAUAUUUAUUUUCAUUGUAGAGAUUUUAAAUAAAAUUUUGCAUUAAAUAAAUUUUACAAUUAAAAAAAUCGCACAUACUAGUAAUGUUAAAAUUAUUAUUUUACAUAACAUUCAAAAUAAUUUAAAUUUUAAUACAUUUAUUUUAAUAUUAUAUUUUGAUUUCUUAUAAAACAUUAGAGUGAUUUUUUUUUGGGAUAAUAGAGAUAAAUGAUAUUAUGGUUAAAAGGGGUCCUGGUGUCCCUUUUUGAAAAUUUGAGUGUUAGUGAUUAUUUUUUCAAAUUGUAAGGGUAUAGAUAUCUUUUUUCUUUUUAAUAUAAUUUUAAAAAAUAGAGGAUAAAAUUGUAAAUACAUUACAAUAGGUGUUUUAUAAGAGAAAAAAGGGGGUUGCAGUAGCGUCACUCUGAUAAUAUAAUAUAUUAGGGUUAUGGUCAGUAAAAUAAGUUCUUAUUAAUUUGUUAAAACAAAAAGGUCGAGGUAGAGACUCUAAGAGCGUUAUUAAUUGUUUGAAGAAUUAUUUUAUAUAAUACUUUUAAAAACAACCCUUGCAUAAGUUUAUAAACUGUUCUGAAAAUAGAAAAAAUUACUAUAAAAGAGAGAGAUUUAAGAAAAAAAAUUACUGUUGUCUGAAUGACUCUUCCUUCCUAUAUCAAAUUUCUGAAUACCCCCUUGAAGGUGCUGAAGAAAGAGAAUUUUUACCUAUCAAUGCGGCUCUUGAGCUUCAACAAGAACUUCUCGUUAUCAACUUCAGUGACUUUCACCAAUUUAUUGAUCAACCUUUGCCUUUGUUGCAGUCCAAGAUUAGAAACAUCAACUUCGAAAGCUUCACCUCGUGAAGUAGUUAGUAAUCCUUUCCUCAAACGAUUAUAAGUAGGCAGUUUCUCAAGAGCGGCCCAUUUUAGAGCCUCCUCAUCAUCUUCUUCCCUCAAGGACUUCGAAAAUGCACCCACAGAACUUGUUCUCCAUCUAGAAAUACUCCCACGCAAACUAGUACUCGCCAAGUAACUAUCAUGACUGCCCUCCAUUGCAAAGUCAAGCUGAUCAAUUAGUACUGCUGAAACCAACCAAACUCACAAGUUAUAUUUUUCUUUCUUUUUGUUGGAUUCAACAGACAGAAAUUCAGGCAGAGAAGAAAUAUUGUGUAUCAGUUAAUUAACUUGACAGGGCAAUGUUAUCUCUUACGAUAAAUGGCUUGGUAUAUAUAACAACUCUGCUUAUACUUAUGUUUAUAAAAGGAAUGGAACAUGUCAGUGUCAGCUAAAAUAUUCAGAAAAGGGUGGCGUACUGGCGUCGCGAAAGAGAAAGAAGAGAGAGGCAACGAAAUUCAUACCGGGACCCGAGACUUACAAUCCAAUCAUUUAGUAGGGUAGACAUGUAAUAUCCUAUUACAACCAAACAUUAGUCCACUAUAUUUGACCACUAAAAUCUCUCCCGAUUAUUACAGCGAUAAUCUCAACGUAAAAGGUUGUUUGAAUUUCGAAAAGAGUUAUAAAAGCAUCCAAGAUAAUAUCUUGUUGAGUCUAAAUUCACUACCUCUUACAACAGCAAACUUAUGCUCAUACUAUGUUAAAAUAUCGUUUACUUCGAGUCUCGAAUUGGAUUAAGAAAUUUGAAAAGUGAGAAUUUUGAUAUUAGGAGUGUGGAGUCAGAGUGGAAGUAAGUUGUUUACUUACACUGGAAUAGAAGUGUAGAAUAAAAAUCAAAAUCUCAUUUAUAUAUUUACAUAAUUUUGGAUUGGGAGUAAAUUGUUUCAUAUUAUAAUUUUACCCUUAUUUAAAAAGUACUAGUUUUUAAUUAAAAAGUGAAUAAAAGAAUAUAUUUAUAAAAUAAACUAUUUAUUUUAUUAUUAAUUUUAAUUUUAGUUAUGUAAGUUAAAUAUUAUUGAUAAGAGUAACAAAAAUGAAACAUUAUUAUUAAUAAUAUAGUACAAAAUUAAUAUUUUCUUAGAAUAAACUAUUUAUUAGUAAUAUUAAAUAAAUAUAGUACUAUUAAAAUUAAAUAAAUAUAAUAUUAUUAUAUUAUCAAACAAAGAUAGUUUAUAAAAAUAUUAUCAAUUCUCUACGAAUAUGAUAAUAUUAUUUUUAAAUAACCUUAACUUAGAUUACAUAAAAUAUUAUUUCUAACUAAAUAUAAUAAUAUUAUAUUCAAAAAAGUUUAAUAUUAUUAUUUUUAAGUAAAUGUAACAAUAUAUUAUUUUAAUAAAUAUAAAUUAUUUUAUAAAAGAAGGGUAAAAAAAGACGAUGGGAGUGAGAAUUCCACUCCUCACUCCAAAAAUAAGUGGGACAUAUGGAGUGGGACUCUCGCACCCCUUCUUAAAUGAGCAAGUAAACGGCUGGAGUGAGAGAAAUCCACGUUUUCCAAUCCUACUCCAACAAGUGAACACUAUACAAAACGUGUGACUAUCAUGUGACACAUAAGGCUAAGGGCAUUUUUUUUCUACUUUGAAUGCAUAAGUGUCAAUAAUCACAGACAACCAUUUGAUCGAGAUUAUCUUUUCUUGACCAUCCUAGAGUAAAAAUGUUCGAGAUGUCAUUGUAACAAUGAAUUUUCAAUUUAAUUUUUCAACUCAUAUGCCAGAAAAACAUGUUUACAAAUUUGCAUCGUGUACUAGUAUAUACACGUUUAAAGUCUUUAGCUUUAAUGCACAUUUUAAAGGUAAACAAUUAAAAUGUGCAAUAUGGAAACUUGCGCAGAUGACAGAGUGCAAGAUUUUGUCUUGUCUAUAUUAUAAAGUCUUUAUUUUUGUGGUUUGAAUGGAGUCUCUGCAAGAUUUUGAGCCACAAGGAAUAAGAGGUUCUCCUUUUGUACCUUCACUGAGCUCUUAUGUGCGCAGCUAGUGGGAAGGGCUAGUGCCGUUUCUCUGCUUUCAGCUGCCUAUCUCAACUAAUACCCUCGCUCUAAAGUGUCCAAUUAAUUUGCUGCUGGCUAUGGUUAUGUUUAUUAUAUUAAGGAAUUUUGAUGGGCGUGAAAUAUAAUCAGAUUCGAGAACUAUUUUGAUUAAAUUAGUGUAAUUUUAUUUUUAAAUUAUAAUAACAAAUAUUUAUCAAAUAUUUUAAAACCAUAACUUAACUUUUAAACUACAAUUGAUACACCUGUACAGGAAACAGGCCCUUGAUAUGCUGCCUUCCUCCUUUCGGUUGGAUUAAGGCCAAAAUUUGGAUGCGAUGCUUCAGCUUAUGGUGGAGUUUUUUAAAGCCGAAAUCAUGACAGUUAUUUAUGUUUUUUUAGAAUGGUUUUGCUCGACAGUGGCAUUAGCUUUGGAUUGAGUGCGACUCAAUACUAGUUAAUUUUCCUUGGUCUUCAGAACAGAUGGCUUCUCCCUCGUUGCUCUCUCGAUGUUAGACAGAAUAAAUUGCAUUCAGAAGAUGCUUCUGCUUUACUCCUAAACAAAUUCAAAUAUUUUCUCUUACAAAAAAUAUGUUUUAUUUGAUUAAUAAUUAUAUUGUAAAAAUUUGAACAAUAGUGAAAAAAAAUUUAUUAAUCAUUUCUUACUUAAAUAAUUAAAAAAAAUUGCGUUCUUUAUUUAAUUUAUCUAAAUUCAUGAGGAAUAAACCUUUUAAAAUUGAGAGAGAAUGAUGUGUUGAUGCAUUUUACAAACUAUAAAAAUAUAAUGAGCUAUUAAACAAAACUACAUGAAUGUAAAGAACAUUCGCCUAUCCUUAAAUCUUAAUUUCUUUUUGAGGGAUAAGACUUAGUCCUAUCUGAUAUUGAGGUGUUGUACCUUUUAAUUAUAGUUGUUGUGGAAAAAAAAAAGUAAUUAUAAAAUAAAAUUUUAUAAUAUAUAGUAAAUAUGAAUUUAAAUAAUAAUUUUUAUAAAACUAAUAAUUAUAUUGUAAGUUUUUCAUCAUAUAAUUGCGGGAUCAAAUCAAUAUAAAUUUCAAGUUACCGCAAAUAAUGUUUACCAAAUAUUUUAAUAUUAUUAUUUUAAAACUACAGCUGCAUAAUUUUAAUACUAAACAAGCCAUUACUAUCCAAACAUAUAUUUAUAGAUAGGGAUGAUGAUUUAUAAAAACAGGGUUUAAAGGAAAAUAGAAGAUAAUUAUUAUUAUUUUUUUGUUAAAAUCAUCAUUAGUUAUGUUAUACACGGCUUUUCAAUAAUUUGGUUGUUAUUUUAUUUACAAGUUUUUUUACCCCCUUGUCUUUAUGCAAGAAAAGUAAGCUAAACUUUCACAUUAAACAGUGCUUCAACAGACUUCGACAAAGGUUUCUGUACGACAGCCGCACCACCCCAAUACGUUAUGGUGGACUGCUAAUCACAUAAUCAUUAAUCAAAUGGUAGAUUUGGUAGGUCCCUUGAUGGCGUCCACCAGUAUAAUGUUGGUUGAUUUGGUAGGUCCCUUGAUGGCAUCCACCAAUAUAAUGUUGGUGGCAUACUGGCAUUGCAAAAUUUAAAAUUAAAAAACAAAAAAAUUAUAGAUCGCAAUCCCAUCACAAGGCUCGUUAGAUUUGUCAUUUGACAAAUUUUUAUUGGACAGGAAGACCUCCUCAAUCUACUGAAAUGGUGUGCUUAUCUUACAGAAAUUUUUCUCAUCAUCUUUUGUCGUGAGUUGUGAUCCAUUUGAUUAAAGUUAUGAUUUCUUGAACUCCAACCAGUGAGAAAAAUAAAUAAAUAAAUAAUAAACAAUAAACUUUACACUUCAAUUUUUCAUCUCAUAAAAAAAUAUAUUUAAAAAUGUGACCUUUUGUUGACCCCAGACGGGCUUGGGAUGGUUAUUAUCUUCAUUUGUUUUGAUUUCCACAUUGUUUGCCUCAUUUGUUUUAAUAAACAAUAAACGUUUUUAUUUUUCUCUAAAAUUUGAACUCGUGUAGCCAGUCAAAUAAAGUUGCUUGGAACCAAUCACUCAGCCAGGUCACUUUUGCUUCACAUCAUUAAUUAUGUGUAAUCUAAAGUAUGAAAUGGCACCUGAGUAACAAAUUAAAAAGUUAUAUCUUAUUGCAUCAUAUACUACAUUAACCACCUCCUGCCAUUAAUACAGAUGUAAAUUCCUGAAAAGAUGAAGAAUAACAUGCUCAAUUUAGCCAAGGCAUCCCCGACCCGAUUCUCCUAAUUGUGCCCCCCCAAUGUUUGGUAGCAGUAAGCCAGACAUCAUCUAAGAAAUGAAAUUAAACUUCUACAGAUUCAGGAAAUUAAACUCCAAAUAGCACAGUUAAGGAUAACUUCCCACCCAAUUUUUAUAAGAUGAUACUAUAGAGGAACCGUAUUAUUGGAUACAUUCUGGUGGAGAUACUCCAAAACAGAUUAGCUAAGCCUUCCGCGACGUGGUUUCCGUUGUACAUCACAUGUUUAGUACCAGUUCUUUUCCCAUGAAGCACAAGCUUGAUCUUCAAAAUCAAAUUAAAUUUCUAUCGCCUCUGGAAAUUAAGCUGCUUAAUUGCUACGGCGAAGAGAAGUGCAAAGAGCCCUGGAAAGCAAGUAAGGACACCCGCAACUGCUGCCAGAAAAUCAUGUUUAAAAUCAAAAUAAUCUCUUAGAAAAUGUUUUACUGUUUCACCGCUUUCCAUUUUAUCCUCCAUAUCUCCAAACUGGGAAGCAAUCAAUCCAUACAAGGUCCAAGCUAUAGGGUUUGCCCAAUAGUACCAUCUCCACCAUACAGGAAUCCUCUGUGGUUUGACAAGUAGAAAGAUGAGGAAAGGACGAAUAACAAAAAUUCCAUAAGCAAGAAAAUCUAGCAUAUACAAUAGAAAUAGCAGGAUGGUACUCACGGGUCUUGGGAUUAUAAACCCGCUGAAGAUGUUCCAUAUCCCAUAAAAUAAAGUCGAAACAAUGGCAGCAAUGUGGUGGUUUGGUGUUAUAGCCACAGUCAACAUGCCAUAGAAGGUGAAGAACAACAAUGUGACGUACAUGAAGAAUAUAUACCAAAAGAACUUUGCGGCUGUCCAGUCAAAUUCCAUCAUAGCAUAGACUAUAGAACUGUACACUAGUGACUGGACAAAUAUAUAAGGAAUCUCAAUCAUA